rnacentral:rRNA from 1 species
UACGUGAGGGGCAAGCGUUGUCCGGAUUUAUUGGGCGUAAAGAGCGUGUAGGCGGCCAGACAGGUCCGUUGUGAAAACUCGAGGCUCAACCUCGAGACGCCGAUGGAAACCGUCUGGCUAGAGUCCGGAAGAGGAGAGUGGAAUUCCUGGUGUAGCGGUGAAAUGCGCAGAUAUCAGGAAGAACACCCGUGGCUAAGGCGGCUCUCUAGUACGGUACUGACGCUGAGACGCGAAAGCGUGGGGAGCGAACAGG